UGCGAGUCUAGAGGCCUAGCCUCGGCGUACCGCUCAGUAACACGUGGGUAACCUACCCUAUGCUGGGGGAUAAGCUCGGGAAACUGAGAAUAAUACCCCAUAGUCCACUACGCCUGGAACGGUGAGUGGAUCAAAGCUCCGGCGGCAUAGGAUGGGCCUGCGGCGUAUCAGGUUGUAGGGGGUGUAACGUACCCUCUAGCCAUCCACGCGUACGGGUGUUGGGAGACAUUGCCCGGAGAUGGAUUCUGAGACACGAAUCCAGACCCUACGGGGUGCAGCAGGCGCGAAAACUUGGCAAUGCGAGAAAUCGUGACCAGGGAACUCCAAGUGGCAGGGGUAAGACCCUGUCUUUUUCCGACUCUAAAUAGGUCGGCGAAUAAGGGGUGGGUAAGGACGGUGCCAGCCGCCGCGGUAAUACCGGCGCCUCAAGUGGUAGUCGCUUUUAUUGGGCCUAAAACGUCCGUAGCCGGUCUGGUACAUUCGUGGGUAAAUCCACUCGCUCAACGAGUUGAAUUCUGCGAGGACCGCCAGACUUGGGGCCGGGAGAGGUGUGGGGUACUCUCCGGGUAGGGGUAAAAUCCUGGCAUCCUGAGAGGACCACCUGUUGCGAAGGCUCCACACUAGAACGGAUCCGACGGUCAGGGACGAAGCCUAGGGGCACGAACCGGAUUAGAUACCCGGGUAGUCCUAGUGUAAACGCUGUGGACUUGAUGUUGGGGACGCUCCGAGCGUUCUCAGUGUCGAAGCGAAGGCGAUAAGUCCACUGCCUGGGGAGUACGGUCGCAAGGCUGAAACUUAAAAGGAAUUGGCGGGGG
rnacentral:rRNA from 1 species